ensembl:lncRNA
GAAUAAUGUCACUGCAGUAUGUCAGUUUAGAGAGAAUAAUGUCACUGCAGUAUAUCAGAGAGAAUAAUGUUACUGCAGUAUGUCAGUACAGAGAGAAUAAUGUUACUGCAGUAUGUCAGUUCAGAGAGAAUAAUGUCACUGCAGUAUGUCAGAGAGAAUAAUGUCACUGCAGUAUGUCAGCACAGAGAGAAUAAGGUUACUGCAGUAUGUCAGAGAAAAUAAUGUUACUGCAGUAUGUCAGUUCAGAGAGAAUAAUGUUACUGCAGUAUGUCAGCACAGAGAGAAUAAUGUCACUGCAGUAUGUCAGAGAUAAUAAUGUUACUGCAGUAUGUCAGCACAGAGAGAAUAAUGUCACUGCAGUAUUUCAGCACAGAGAGAAUAAUGUCACUGCAGUAUUUCAGAGACAAUAAUGUCACUGCAGUAUGUCAGCACAGAGAGAAUAAUGUCACUGCAGUAUGUCAGCACAGAGAGAAUAGUGUCACUGCAGUAUGUCAGAGAGAAUAAUGUCACUGCAGUAUGUCAGAGAGAAUAAUGUUACUGCAGUAUGUCAGUUCAGAGAGAAUAAUGUCACUGCAGUAUGUCAGCACAGAGAGAAUAAUGUCACUGCAGUAUGUCAGAGAGAAUAAUGUUACUGCAGUAUGUCAGAGAGAAUAAUGUCACUGCAGUAUGUCAGAGAGAAUAAUGUCACUGCAGUAUGUCAGAGAGAAUAAUGUCACUGCAGUAUGUCAGUUCAGAGAGAAUAAUGUCACUGCAGUAUGUCAGAGAGAAUAAUGUUACUGCAGUAUGUCAGUUCAGAGAGAAUAAUGUCACUGCAGUAUGUCAGAGAGAAUAAUGUCACUGCAGUAUAUCAGAGAGAAUAAUGUUACUGCAGUAUGUCAGUACAGAGAGAAUAAUGUCACUGCAGUAUGUCAGUUCAGAGAGAAUAAUGUCACUGCAGUAUGUCAGCACAGAGAGAAUAAUGUCACUGCAGUAUGUCAGAGAGAAUAAUGUUACUGCAGUAUGUCAGUUCAGAGAGAAUAAUGUCACUGCAGUAUGUCAGCACAGAGAGAAUAAUGUCACUGCAGUAUGUCAGAGAGAAUAAUGUUACUGCAGUAUGUCAGUUCAGAGAGAAUAAUGUCACUGCA